GACGAACGCUGGCGGCGUGCUUAACACAUGCAAGUCGAACGCUGAAGCUUGGUGCUUGCACUGGGUGGAUGAGUGGCGAAAGGGUGAGUAAUACGUGAGUAACCUGCCCUUGACUCUGGGAUAAGCCUGGGAGACUGGGUCUAAUACUGGAUACGACAUGUCACCGCAUGGUGGUGUGUGUAAAGGGUUUUAGUGGUUUUGGAUGGGCUCACGGCUUAUCAGCUUGUUGGUGGGGUAAUGGCUCACCAAGGCGACGACGGGUAGCCGGCCUGAGAGGGUGACCGGCCACACUGGGACUGAGACACGGCCCAGACUCCUACGGGAGGCAGCAGUGGGGAAUAUUGCACAAUGGGCGGAAGCCUGAUGCAGCGACGCCGCGUGAGGGAUGACGGCCUUCGGGGUGUAAACCUCUUUCAGCACGGAAGAAGCGAAAGUGACGGUACGUGCAGAAGAAGCGCCGGCUAACUACGUG
rnacentral:rRNA from 1 species